rnacentral:ncRNA from 1 species
GAAAGUAGGGGUGCUAAUAUGGCUGAGAUAGAUAAUUUAUUAUCUAGACCCUUUGAACCUGAUAAGGCUAAUACCUGCGCAGGGAACUUUAUUC